GCCAGAUGUGGUGGUGCAUGCCUAUAGUCCCAGCUAUCCAGGAGGCUGAGGUGGGAGCACUGCUUAGCCCAGGAGUUCUUGGCUGUAAUAUGCAUGCCAGUCAGGUGUCUGCACUAUGUUUGGCAUCAGUAUAGUGACCUCCUGGGAGCGUGGGACCACCAGGUUGCCUAAGGAGGGGUGAACUAUCCCAGGCUGGAAAUGAAGCAGGUAAAAACUCCUGUGCUAGUUAGCAGUGGGAUUGUGCCUGUGAAUAGUCACUGCACUCCAACCUGGGCAACACAGUGAGACCCCGUCUCU
rnacentral:SRP_RNA from 1 species